CAAUUAUUCUCCCAAUAACUGUUCCUGUUGUUUCUCUGUUUUUCUUGCCAUCUGUGAUUUUCCCAGUUAGCUCUCCUUUUUAGCUUCUCCCAGGUGUUAUUAUUAUUAUUCCAAUUAUUAUUGAUUACCUUAGGCUCCUCCCAUCUAAUUUCCAAUUAUCUCCCAUUACAUUACUUCCUUUAGAACUGUUCCUAUUCCUAUGGUCCCUCUGUGGAUCUCUCCAUCUUUUGUCAAAGUCCUGUUUUGGUCUCCAGUUCUCAUUACCCCUCUUGUUCUGAGGUACAUCCCACCUUUGGCUUCUCCAUUUGCCAUCUAAAUCUCUACCAGAGUCAACCUUGAAUGUUCUUAUGGCUGAAACAGAUAAGGCCUGUUCUGAGGAAGGAUGCUUAAGCCACCAAUUAUCAGCUCUAGUUAGUAGCAUUUCUAAGUCUGCUGGUGUUGGAUCAAAAAGCCUGACAAAUUCUUGACACUCCCAGGGAAGGGCUUCCAUUACUUUAGUAAUGUGUUCUGGUGAGCCCAACACCAGGGGCUGUUGAGGUUGGCG